rnacentral:rRNA from 1 species
AUGUGCGGCCACCAGGAGGAGUCACUGUUUCAUUCUCUGGUGAUGUGUGACCACGCGAAGUUGUUUUGGAGAGAGGCAGAGACUUUCUUCGAGUUUAAGCUGCCGCGGCUACACCCAGUUACGUGGUCGAGGGACUUGCUUGACCCCAGCUUAAUUGGGAAGGACCGAGAGGCCAUCAUUAUCUUAGUCAUGUGGAUAGUAUGGUCGAGCAGGAACAAGUAUACCCAUGAGGAGGUCAAAUACCAGCCCGGGAGGUCAAUGGUUCUAGUGAAGGAACUCAUUCAAGCUUUGUACAUUCCUUCCGAAGCUGUCGGCAGGAGAAGUCUCGUGAAAGAGAAAUGA